CUGAGGGUGUUCCGUCUAACAGCCCCGGUUAUCUGACAGUGAAGCCAGAGAGCAUUGCUCAUAGGAUUCCUAACUGCUGAGCGGCUGGAGCACGUGCUCUAGGGAGAUGCUCUCAGACUCUCCUUCUGAGAAGGGAAAGGACUGCGUUUUCUGAAAAACUGUACCAUGCCCUUCCUUGUCCAGAGGAUGUGGGGCAUCCGAUCUACACUUGGGAAGCAGACAUGCUGCCAUUGGAAUGCUCUGCUCAACGCCGCGCAACGUUGAAUUCACAGGUGCUGGGCUGGGAGGUCCAGGCUUUGAAAGGUCACCGCGAUGCUCUGCUUCAGUUCUGGGGCCAAAAUGCGAAGAGUGAGGAUUGAUAGGCGGUUCAGGUCUCUGUUCUCCCACUCCGCAUUCUUUCCUCCUGUCCCCUUCCGUGAUGCGCUCGUACCUGAUGAAAUUCAUGUCUUUUUCGUCUUUUUUUUUUUAACUUUAAAAAUUUCCUCACCUUCGGUUCCUGCAUCAGAACUUAGGUGGAAAUGUAUGCAAUUGUAAUAAAGGAGGUAAAAAAAAAUCAUGUUGUCAUUCAAUUUGAAGUCUUUUAAACCUAAUUUCAGCUAAAAAAUAAAAAUAAAAAAAUAAAUCGUUCA